GGCUGUGUGGCCUAAUGGAUAAGGUGCCUGAUUCCAGGUCAGAUGAUUGAAGGUUUUAGUCCCUUCACGGUCC
rnacentral:tRNA from 1 species